rnacentral:rRNA from 1 species
GAUGAACGCUGGCGGCGUGCCUAAUACAUGCAAGUCGAGCGAACAGAUAAGGAGCUUGCUCCUUUGACGUUAGCGGCGGACGGGUGAGUAACACGUGGGUAACCUACCUAUAAGACUGGAAUAACUCCGGGAAACCGGGGCUAAUGCCGGAUAACAUUUAGAACCGCAUGGUUCUAAAGUGAAAGAUGGUUUUGCUAUCACUUAUAGAUGGACCCGCGCCGUAUUAGCUAGUUGGUAAGGUAACGGCUUACCAAGGCAACGAUACGUAGCCGACCUGAGAGGGUGAUCGGCCACACUGGAACUGAGACACGGUCCAGACUCCUACGGGAGGCAGCAGUAGGGAAUCUUCCGCAAUGGGCGAAAGCCUGACGGAGCAACGCCGCGUGAGUGAUGAAGGUCUUCGGAUCGUAAAACUCUGUGAUUAGGGAAGAACAAAUGUGUAAGUAACUGUGCACGUCUUGACGGUACCUAAUCAGAAAGCCACGGCUAACUACGUG